AAUCCAUGGUAAGGGCAUUUGUGUAGUAACUCUUUUAGUCUUUCCCAUGCCUCGUAUAAGGAUUUAUCAUCCAUUUGCUAAAAAGUGAUGAUCUCAUUCUUCAACUU
rfam:Gossypium raimondii Chr07_contig_722, whole genome shotgun sequence.